UACGUAGGGUGCGAGCGUUAAUCGGAAUUACUGGGCGUAAAGCGUGCGCAGGCGGUUGUGUAAGACAGAUGUGAAAUACCCGGGCUUAACCUGGGAAUUGCAUUUGUGACUGCACGGCUAGAGUGUGUCAGAGGGGGGUAGAAUUCCACGUGUAGCAGUGAAAUGCGUAGAUAUGUGGAGGAAUACCGAUGGCGAAGGCAGCCCCCUGGGAUAACACUGACGCUCAUGCACGAAAGCGUGGGGAUCGAACA
rnacentral:rRNA from 1 species